UGGGGAAUAUUGGACAAUGGGGGCAACCCUGAUCCAGCCAUGCCGCGUGAGUGAUGAAGGGCCUUCGGGUUGUAAAGCUCUUUUGGCGGGGGACGAUGAUGACGGUACCCGCAGAAUAAGCCCCGGCUAACUUCGUGCCAGCAGCCGCGGUAAGACGAAGGGGGCUAGCGUUGUUCGGAAUUACUGGGCGUAAAGCGAGUGUAGGCGGUUGCCGUAGUCAGGUGUGAAAGCCUUGAGCUCAACUCAAGAAAUGCACUUGAUACUGGGUGACUAGAGGACCGGAGAGGAUAGUGGAAUUCCCAGUGUAGUGGUGAAAUACGUAGAGAUUGGGAAGAACACCAGUGGCGAAGGCGGCUAUCUGGACGGUUACUGACGCUAAGACUCGAAAGCGUGGGGAGCAAACAGGAUUAGAUACCCUGGUAGUCCACGCCGUAAACGAUGGGUGCUAGACGUUGGCGAGCUUGCUCGUCAGUGUCGCAGCUAACGCGUUAA
rnacentral:rRNA from 1 species